GCACAGCCAGGGGCCUUCCUAGAACCUUGGAAGGAGCUGUGAGGCUGAGGGAUUCUGAGGCUUCGGAGCAGCGGCAUCUGAAGGGUGAAGGGUGCCGGGCGUCAGGUCCUACCCGAGACGGCUGUCCGGAAGACCACCCGCCUCAACGGCCAGUUCCGGGACUUGCUGACAGAGUCAUUUCGAAGGAGGGGUGAGGCGUGGGGGAUGCAUGCAGCACGAGUGGCAACUUGGGGGGGCUCUGCAGGCUCUCAGACCGCCCCCACCAGUGCCCACCAGCAGAGUCCAGCGCCCCGGGCAGACACAGCCCCAUCGUGAUGAGUUUUAGGAAGGUAAGCAGUGUCUCUGCCUCCUUAGCUUUCUGGAUAUUCAAGUGAUGUGCUUUUUGUUGUCACUGUUUCUCUUCUGUGCUGUUCCUGCCGUGAGUGGGUGGCCGAGCGUCAGGGUGAGGGUCGUCUGUGGACUGAGAUGGGGGGAGCGCGCUGUGGCACACCUGGACCGCGGUCCCUGCCACCCAGGGCGCAGGAGGAGGGGCAGUGCGUGGGCUGGGAGCCACCAGGGCAGCAUGCAGCUGAGGAGCUAGCUCUUCCUGCUCGGGCGGGAGUUACUCUGCCCGGACCGCCCACGUGCUUCACGGCUGCUCCCCGGGACGGACGGACGCCCUGGAGACCCUGGAUCAACAACGGCUUCUUGUGGAGCAGAGACACCAGCUUCACGGCCACCUUAGGAGCCGCGGAGGGGCAUCACAGGAAGGACACAGGACAGUGUGUGGGCUGCCCUCCUGCCUCCGACUCAGAAGGAAGAAGCCACACCGUCCUGGGGCCAGUCAUCAAGGCCGGAGUGAUGACAGAACGUCGGGACGGACAGGUCAGUGCCCUUACAACAGAGACUGCAGAGAGGUCCCUGCCCCACUGCCAGUGAGGACACAGUGACAGACGGCUGGCCAUGAACCAGAAGAUCGUUCUCAGCAAACACCGAAUCUGCCUGUGCCUUGAUCUCUGAAUUCCAGCCUCCAGAACUGUGAGAACUAUUAUGAAUAAUGCUGUUAUGAACAUGGGUUUACAAAUAUUGCUUCAAGACCCUGCUUUCAAUUCUUUCGAGAAGUGGAAUUACCCAGAAGUGGAAUUGCUGUAUUAUAUGGUAAGACUAUCUUUAAUUUUUCUGGGGAACCACCGUACCAUUUUCCAGAGCAACUGUACCAGUUUACAUUCCCAUCAACAGUGCACAAGAGUUUCGAUUUCUCUACAUCCUCACCAAUGCUUGUUAUUAUUAGUUAUUUUUUUAAUAGUAGCCAUCCUAAUGGAUGUGAGGUUUUACUAUGUAUUUUUGCAAGCCACUUCAGAUCCCUCCAGGAGCUAGGUAGGACAAAAAUGAUGCUCAAUUUGCUUAGGAUUUUGGUUUUGUUCUGGCUCUUCCCCUGCCUUCAUUCAAUCUGCAUCCAGCCCUGAAAUCCAGCUUCUCCAUUCAUUUCUUCAUCCUUCAUUGACCUCCCUCUCCUCUGAGCUCUCCUGUUGAGAUAAUUUUGCACUUCAUGAUUGUGUGCUGCUCCUUAGUGUUUCAUGUGUCGUUGUCCUGU